rnacentral:rRNA from 1 species
UACAGAGGUCUCAAGCGUUUGUUCGGAUUCAUUGGGCGUAAGGUGUGUAGGUGGCGCCGUAAGUCGGGUGUGAAAUUUCGGAGCUUAACUCCGAAACUGCAUUCGAUACGUGACGGUGCUUGAGGACUGGGAGAGGAGACUGGAAUUCAUGGUGUAGCAGUGAAAUGCGUAGAGAGUCAUGAGGAAGACCAGUGGCGAAGGCGGGUCUCUGGGACAAGUUCCGUGGACACUGGAGACACGAAGGCCCAGGGGAGCAAAACGGG